rnacentral:lncRNA from 1 species
AGCAACCAGAACCUCUCUAAAAGAAGCUGCAGUCGGUAUUCAAUCUAAAGGUAUUCUUUUACCACAGAUAACUUGGACCAGGGCUCCAAGACACUAGAAACCUGCAAGAACAUUGGUGGAUACUUGAAACCUCAGGGACCAGGAACUGAGCAUAUUAAUGAGGAGGAGCAUCCUGGGCUCACUGCCAAUGGAGUCUAGAAGAAAGAGAAGAUAGGAGGUAAGAGAAAGUAUGGAGGAGAAUUCUGGGAAAUCACCCUGAAGGAAGAGGUUGGCCUUUGGCGCUCUUGCUCUUUGUAUUGAUAGAAGGGAAGAAGAGCAUUCUCAGCCUUCCUAAAAACAUCCUUUCUGCCUGGAGAUUACCUAGUGAUUGAUUGGUAAGUUCAGAUUCUGAUUGCAAAGAUUGGUUUAUCUAUUGAU